UAAUAAGUGUUCAUGGCACUUCUUAAAUCCAUAUCCACCUUGUGUGCAAUGUCAGCCGUUUUCUUUAUGAAAGCGGCCAAACAUCAACUUAUUUUUUAACUGUCUGUUUGAAAACUAUUAUGAAUAAACAAUUCAAAUA
rnacentral:misc_RNA from 1 species